rnacentral:antisense_RNA from 1 species
UAUCGAAUUAUUAGCGAAAAACACAA